UAAUAGAUUACUACCAUAGAUUCAGUUCAUCACAUCGUAAGCAACCACAUUCAGUUUACCAAAAGUAACGCAAAAGAUAAAGAUAAAACAUGCUGCCACAUUCAGUUCAUCACAUCAUCACAUCACACCGAAGUCAGUGCCUUCGCGAGGGCAGCAUGUUGCCCCCUGAUCAUGUAGUCCUCCCCGCGAUUCGCUACAUCCUCUGCAUGAGAC
rnacentral:lncRNA from 1 species